rnacentral:tRNA from 1 species
UGCAUCGGCCGGGAAUCGAACCCGGGCCGCCCACGUGGCAGGCGGCAUUCUACCACUGAACCACCGAUGG